rnacentral:lncRNA from 1 species
UUAAUGUCUUGCUUAUAGUAGUAGUGUGGAUUAAUUCUUUGAUAUGAUUCUUAAGUGAAGAUUUAUUCAACGACGAACAAUCCUUUAAGUGUGGGGUAAUGAUCUUAGGUAGAUUUAUGCACCUAAGUGUUGUUAUCUAUGCUUAUUUAGCUUAGUUUAGAGGAAUUCUCAUGUGCAUAAUGUUUUAAUCUUAAUAUAAAUGAGAAUUUAAGUGUUAAUUUGUUUAGUU